UACGUAGGGUGCGAGCGUUGUCCGGAAUUACUGGGCGUAAGAGCUUGUAGGCGGUUUGUCGCGUCUGCUGUGAAAUUUCGGGGCUCAACCCCGAACUUGCAGUGGGUACGGGCAGACUAGAGUGUGGUAGGGGAGACUGGAAUUCCUGGUGUAGCGGUGAAAUGCGCAGAUAUCAGGAGGAACACCGAUGGCGAAGGCAGGUCUCUGGGCCGUAACUGACGCUGAGGAGCGAAAGCGUGGGGAGCGAACAGG
rnacentral:rRNA from 1 species